UUCCAGACUCCUACGGGAGGCAGCAGUGGGGAAUAUUGCACAAUGGGGGAAACCCUGAUGCAGCGACGCCGCGUGAGUGAAGAAGUAUUUCGGUAUGUAAAGCUCUAUCAGCAGGGAAGAAAAUGACGGUACCUGACUAAGAAGCCCCGGCUAACUACGUGCCAGCAGCCGCGGUAAUACGUAGGGGGCAAGCGUUAUCCGGAUUUACUGGGUGUAAAGGGAGCGUAGACGGCAUGGCAAGUCAGAUGUGAAAGCCCGGGGCUCAACCCCGGGACUGCAUUUGAAGCUGUCAGGCUGGAGUGCAGGAGAGGUAAGUGGAAUUCCUAGUGUAGCGGUGAAAUGCGUAGAUAUUAGGAGGGACACCAGUGGCGAAGGCGGCUUACUGGACUGUAACUGACGUUGAGGCUCGAAAGCGUGGGGAGCAAACAGGAUUAGAUACCCCGGUAUG
rnacentral:rRNA from 1 species